rnacentral:misc_RNA from 1 species
GAUGAAGAACGUAGCGAGAUGCGAUAAGUAAUGUGAAUUGCAGAAUUCAGUGAAUCAUCGAAUCUUUGAACGCACAUUGCGCCCGCCAGCAUUCUGGCGGGCAUGCCUGUUCGAGCGUCAUUUCAACCCUCGAGCCCCCCCGGGGGCCUCGGUGUUGGGGGACGGCACACCAGCCGCCCCCGAAAUGCAGUGGCGACCUCGCCGCAGCCUCCCCUGCGUAGUAGCACACACCUCGCACCGGAGCGCGGAGACGGUCACGCCGUAAAACGCCCAACUUCUUAGAGUUGACCUCGGAUCAGGUAGGAAUACCCGCUGAACUUAAGCAUAUCAAUAAGCGGAGGA